rnacentral:lncRNA from 1 species
AGAUGUCGGGCUUUUUUAAUCUUACUCAACUCUGAAGAAGCUGAGUGGCCUAUAGAUGACCAAAAUGCUCUGUUGGCUUCUUGCAGGGAGUGUGCAUGUGUGAGUGAGUGUGGCGUGCAUGUAUAAAGAAAAGCUUUUCUCUGAAAAGAGCAGAGAAGGGCAGUGUGACCUCGAUGAAAGUGAAUGAUGCAUCUUUUCCCUGCCCACCCCCAGCCCCAUCUCACGUGUUAUUUAUUAUAUUGAAGGGUUAGAAUCUGGGGCACCCUGGUAUCUUCCUGUAUCCUAUGCUCUUACUGCCUACCAUUUUUGGGGUUCACUGACAAAUCUUUGCUGACUGGAGUCAGGGUGUGUGGAGUGGAUCACUUCAAUUCAUGCCAGGAGAAGAAUCAUUAGAUUCUAAAUGCAUUCAGAAGAGAGGGGGCAGAGAGACAGACUCGGAGGAUCACAGAGGCUCCUCAAAGCUGGUUUUGCAAAGCUGUGGCAGAAAGCCUCAGAAAAGCACUGGAAGGCUGGCUUCUGCUUCAGUCUAUCAUGAGAAGCCAUCAGGAAGAGAUUGCCUUUCUUAUACUGCCAUUAAAAAUGCCAUAUCUGGCUUUAAAA